rnacentral:lncRNA from 1 species
CAGCCCCACAGUUGCACACACCUCUCUGCGGAGAAACCUAUGACAGCACGGAAGGGAUGGAAGCCCUGAGCCUCCCCAGUCCGGGGUCAAUUGAGCAGGAUCUGUUGCCGCAGCAGUGGGGGCGACGACUUGGACCUCACCCGUGUGCUUCUGCGGAAGUUUAGAGAUCAAGAUUUACCCUGUGCAGAUUUAAACCCACGCCAGAAGAAUUCUUCAUGCUGGCGCACAGAUCCCUUUUCUCACCCAGAAUUCCAGGAUUCAUGUGGCUGCCUGAAGUGUCCAAAUAGAAGUGCUAGUGCUCCCUACCUGACCAACCACCUGGGCCACACACUGUUGAAUCUCUCAGGCUUCAAUAUGGAGGAGUACUUGCU